rnacentral:rRNA from 1 species
AUGAAUUCCUUUGUUAUAAGAGCAGCUAAACCUUAUUUGGCCACUAUAGGAGCAACUGUUAAUGGUCAUUAUGGAGAAAUCCUUUACAAGGGAGAUAGGUUAGUUACAUUUAUAUAUGAAAAAUCAAGAUCUAGUGACAUAACGCAAGGUCUUCCAAAAGUGGAACAAAUCUUUGAAGCGCGUUCAAUUGAUUCAUUAUCCCCGAAUCUCGAAAGGAGAAUUGAGGAUUGGAAUGAGCGUAUACCAAGAAUUCUUGGGGUCCCUUGGGGAUUCUUGAUUGGAGCUGAGCUAACCAUAGCCCAAAGUAGUAUCUCUUUGGUUAAUAAAAUCCAAAAGGUUUAUCGAUCCCAAGGGGUACAGAUCCAUAAUAGACAUAUAGAGAUUAUUAUACGCCAAGUAACAUCAAAAGUGCGGGUUUCCGAAGAUGGAAUGUCUAAUGUUUUCUCGCCUGGGGAAUUAAUCGGACUAUUGCGAGCGGAACGAGCAGGACGAGCUUUGGAUGAAUCGAUCUAUUAUCGGGCAAUCUUAUUGGGAAUAACAAGGGCUUCCCUAAAUACCCAAAGUUUCAUAUCUGAAGCAAGUUUUCAAGAAACUGCUCGAGUUUUAGCAAAAGCUGCCCUACGAGGUCGCAUUGAUUGGUUGAAAGGCUUGAAAGAAAACGUAGUUCUGGGGGGGUUUAUACCUGUUGGUACCAGAUUCCAAAAAUUUGUGCAUCGUUCCCCACAAGACAAGAACCUUUAUUUCCAAAUAAAAAAAAUCUAUUCACGUCGGAAAUGA